GCUGGGCGUGGUGGCGGGUGCCUGUAAUCCCAGCUACUUGGGAGGCUGAGGCAGGAGAAUCGCUUGAACCCAGGAGGCAGAGGUUGCAGUGAACUGAGAUCGUGCCACUGUACUCCAGCCUGGGCAAUGUAGCAAGAUCCUGCCUCAA
rnacentral:SRP_RNA from 1 species